UCGUUCAUAGACGAGUCAUAUCCUCGACCGCCAAUCAACGCCUUUCCCUUUGGUGUCCCUGUGACAGAUCGUACAAGGAACUAAUCAGAAAGCGUUGUAGCCCACAUACCCUAAUACGGUUCAAACUACGAGGAUUAGAUAAUCGCUCCAGCGUCGCUACACUCAGAGUGUGCCAACAACAAACUCGCAGAGUAAAGCUUGGUCUGUAAAGCAUUUACAGGGGACUUGCAAAGUGUGCACCGCUGACCAAUCACUCAAAGUUCCUAUCCAGUGGGCAUAGAAAUAUAACGCCCCACCCGGUGUUGGCUACGGGUCUCGUCCCCCUCACCGGGGCGCGCGCGCGACGCUCAGAGCGUCUAUUUCUAUUAACAACUUUCAACUGUGAUUGGAACGCGGGAAUCAUGGACCAAGUACGUUGUACCUAUUUACAGACUUCGGAGCUCGACAACGGUCUUAGAGACUGUAGGGCGAGGUUACGCUUCUUAGCUACCCCGACCGGACAUUUUAUCAACAUCAGUGUCGUGUAACACUGUUUAGCAGCCUCGGUCUGCAUUAUCGCAACAACGGUUACAGUGUGUCACAGCAACCAGAUCGCACUCCUCUCAAUAAAGGAGUGUCAAGUCAACUCAAGCCGCAUAAGCAAUGUUUGGCUCAUCGCACAACCCCAAGGCUCUCGUGGGCGAGAUCAGUCUCCAGCGUAAAAGUACUCUUUCAGAGCAGGUGGUCGGAGCCGAUGUCGCAUCAUACUCCUAACAAGGAAAGAUCAUUAAACCAACCCAUUCUUAGCUCAUCGCACAACCCCACGGCUCUCGUGGGCGAGAUCUGUCUCCGGCGUAAAAGCACUUUCUUAGAGCAGGUGGUCGGAGCCGAAGUCACAUCAAUAAUAAUUAUAAUAAUUAUUUUGAGUAUCAUUAUAGUUAUUUUUAUAUUAUUAAUAUUCAAGCAGUGUAUUAUUAUUUAUAUACAGAAUUUCUAAUAUAAUAACACAAGAAGU